AGAGUUUGAUCCUGGCUCAGAUUGAACGCUGGCGGAAUGCUUUACACAUGCAAGUCGAGCGGCAGCGCGGGGCAACCUGGCGGCGAGCGGCGAACGGGUGAGUAAUGCAUCGGAACAUGUCCAGUCGUGGGGGAUAGCC
rnacentral:rRNA from 1 species